UACGUAGGGGGCAAGCGUUGUUCGGAAUUACUGGGCGUAAAGGGCGCGUAGGCGGCCUGUUAAGUCGAACGUGAAAUCCCCGGGCUCAACCCGGGAACUGCGUCCGAUACUGGCAGGCUUGAAUCCGGGAGAGGGAUGCGGAAUUCCAGGUGUAGCGGUGAAAUGCGUAGAGUAUCUGGAGGAACACCGGUGGCGAAGGCGGCAAUCCGUGGACCCGGCA
rnacentral:rRNA from 1 species